UACGUAGGGUGCAAGCGUUAAUCGGAAUUACUGGGCGUAAAGCGUGCGCAGGCGGUGAUGUAAGACAGAUGUGAAAUCCCCGGGCUCAACCUGGGAACUGCAUUUGUGACUGCAUCGCUGGAGUACGGCAGAGGGGGAUGGAAUUCCGCGUGUAGCAGUGAAAUGCGUAGAGAUGUGGAGGAACACCGAUGGCGAAGGCAGCCUCCUGGGCCGACACUGACGCUGAGGGCACGAAAGCGUGGGGAGCAAACAGG
rnacentral:rRNA from 1 species